rnacentral:tmRNA from 1 species
GGGGCUGAUCGGUUUCGACUCUGUACGCCGAGGCGGGGGAAGCGUGUCGGUGCAGGCUGGAGACCACCGUGAGCGUCGCAGCAACCAAUUAAGCGCCGAUAAGAAUCAGCGCGACUACGCUCUCGCUGCCUGACAGCAGAGCUAGUCUGUCGGCCCGGGCAUGCUCCCAGCCCGGUAGCCGGCAUCAUCUUCGGGAGCUCACCGGUGUCGUCGGUCGCGGACGACAUCGGAACAUCAAACAGCGACUGGGAUCGUCAUCUCGGCUUGUUCGCGUGACCGGGAGAUCCGAGUAGAGGCAUAGCGAACUGCACACGGAGAAGCCCCGCCAACUCGACGGAGGACCCGGGUUCAAUUCCCGGCAGCUCCACGA